rnacentral:tRNA from 1 species
ACCGAAAUAGCUCAGUUGGGAGAGCGUUAGAUUAUAGAUUGAAAGGUCCCUAGUUCGAUCACGGGGUUAGCAA